AUCCCUGUUGAGGACAUACGAAUGGAAAGGCAUUGGACAUGGCUGAGAUUAAUGAACCAAAAAGCAUGCCACACACUCAGCAGUCAUCUAGUAGGCAGAACUGAUCAGAACAGGCACCGCGAUUCAACACACAGUGAGAGUUGACAGCUUGAGUCAGGUUGGCGUGUGGGAGACCCGACUGUGAAAUAAGUUCAACAGCAAGAUUAACAGAGAUAUACCGGCAGGUGGGGAAGAAGACAUAAAUACUGAGAGGAAGACAAACAGGGUGAACCUUCCUUCCUUGUCUUCCUGCAAGGCAGGGACACCAGCUAUCUGAGAGGUUUAAUUUUAACUGAGGUAAAAGUUGUUUUGUAAAGUACACUGAUAAUACCCAAAUAUAUUUGUAUUUACAGUGAUAUGAAAGAAGAAAAAAAAUGUAAACUCACAGUUGAGGAAUUAGAACCUGGUUUUGUUGUUGGCCUCAUGACUUGCUAAAUGAUUAAUCAGUAAGCUAAACUGUACAUUUUUUAAUUGAUGCUCAACAAUGCUUAAAUGACUAUAUUACUGUGAAGCUGUUGCUAAUAGGAAUGUCACGAGAACCGAUACUACAGACACCUUCCGGUUCUGAAAUGCCAAAACACCAACGAUGCCCAUUUUUUGAAGCACUGAAGGCACCAUCAGCGAC